rnacentral:rRNA from 1 species
UAGUCUGGUGCCAGCAGCCGCGGUAAUUCCAGCUCCAAUAGCGUAUAUUAAAGUUGUUGCAGUUAAAACGCUCGUAGUCGGAUUUCGGGGCGGGCCGACCGGUCUGCCGAUGGGUAUGCACUGGUCGGCGCGUCCUUCCACUCGGAGACCGCGCCUACUCUUAACUGAGCGGGCGCGGGAGACGGGUCUUUUACUUUGAAAAAAUCAGAGUGUUUCAAGCAGGCAGUCGCUCUUGCAUGGAUUAGCAUGGGAUAAUGAAAUAGGACUCUGGUGCUAUUUUGUUGGUUUCGAACACCGGAGUAAUGAUUAACAGGGACAGUCAGGGGCACUCGUAUUCCGCCGAGAGAGGUGAAAUUCUCAGACCAGCGGAAGACGAACCACUGCGAAAGCAUUUGCCAGGGAUGUUUUCACUGAUCAAGAACGAAAGUUAGGGGAUCGAAGACGAUCAGAUACCGUCGUAGUCUUAACCAUAAACCAUGCCGACUAGGGAUUGGAGGAUGUUCCAUUGUGACUCCUUCAGCACCUUUCGGGAAACUAAAGUCUUUGGGUUCCGGGGGGAGUAUGGUCGCAAGGCUGAAACUUAAAGGAAUUGACGGAAGGGCACCACCAGGAGUGGAGCCUGCGGCUUAAUUUGACUCAACACGGGGAAACUUACCAGGUCCAGACAUUGUGAGGAUUGACAGAUUGAGAGCUCUUUCUUGAUUCGAUGGGUGGUGGUGCAUGGCCGUUCUU